GGGGUUGUGGGUCAGUGGUAGAGCACUUGCCUUGCACGUGAGGCACUGAGUUCGAUCCUCAGCACCACA
rnacentral:tRNA from 1 species